rnacentral:rRNA from 1 species
CUGUGAAGGAAAGGUGAAAAGCACUCCGAUGAGGAGAGUGAAAUAGUUCCUGAAACCAUGCGCCUACAAGCGGUCGGAGCCGCGUAAGCGGUGACGGCGUGCCUUUUGCAUAAUGAACCUACGAGUUACCAUGUCUGGCAAGGAUAAGCGUCAUGAGACGCGCAUCCGCAGUGAAAGCGAGCCUGAACAGGGCGUCGAGUCAGAUGUGGUAGACGCGAAACCAAGUGAUCUACACUUGUCCAGGAUGAAGUUCCGGUAACACGGAAUGGAGGUCCGAACCAAUAAGCGUUGAANNNNNNNNNNAUCAAACUUGGAGAUAGCUCGUACUCCCCGAAAGGCAUUUAGGUGCCGCGUGCGACGAUCUCCAUAAGAGGUAGAGCGACCGAUAGGUCAAGAGGGCUUCACCGCCUAUCGAGACCUGACGAACUCCGAAUGCUUAUGGACUGCAGUCGUGCAGUAAGGGGGCGGGUGCUAAGGUCCGUCCCCGAGAGGAGAAGAAUCCAGACCGCCGUCUAAGGUCCCGAAAUUCUGUCUAAGUUAGUCUAACGAAGUCUGGUCCCCGUGACAGCUAGGAUGUUGGCUUGGAAGCAGCCAUUCAUUCAAAGAGUGCGUAACAGCUCACUAGUCGAGGGUCCGGGCAUGGAUAAUAAUCGGGUAUAAGUCAGAUACCGAAGGCGCGGGAUAGUAAUGUAUAUUAAAAGUAUCGGUAGGGGAGCAUUCCAUCGGCGUUGAAUGGUGAGGGUAACCGAUCCUGGAGCUUAUGGAAAAGCAAAUGUAGGUAUAAGUAACGAUAAAAAGGGUGAGAUUCCCUUUCGCCGAAAGACCGAGGUUUCCCGGGCGAUGCCAAUCAGCCCGGGGUUAGUCGGGUCCUAAGUCUCAGCCGAACGGCGAAGGCGAUGGCAGAUGCGGUUAAUAUUCCGCAACUCGCAUAUACAGUGAUGUGGAGACGGAGCAGUGACACUGCCGCGCCCUGACGGAAUAGGGCGUUUAAGUGCGUAGGCUAUGAGGGAGGCAGGCAAAUCCACCUUCCGAGCUGAACCAUGAAAGUACAGGUAAUCCUUCGGGAUAACUUGAGUGCAGGUAAUC